rnacentral:sRNA from 1 species
UGCAUCUGCGGCCAGUGAGGAUGAGAACCUCCGGGGGCAGGAGGUUCGACUCGAGCGCAGCGAGAGAACGUUGCGUCAGCAACGGCCCGCAGGGCGAGCCACAAAGUGGCGAGUCAUCCUCUAUCACCGACCA